ensembl:lncRNA
AUGAAUAAAUUGUAUUUUAUAUUGACUCUUGUGCUUGAACACUUCAUCUCUUACACUUCUGACAAGCACUUGAGCUUCUCCCCGCAGAUACCAAGUAUUUGUAUGUAUUUAGAUCAUGUCUGUACCAAUGUCUGCUUUACAGGACAGAGCUGGUGUGAAGGCCAGUGCAAUUACACUAGCCCCACCUGCGAAGGCACCUGCUGUUCCAACUAUCUCCUUGCAGGAGCACUAACAUGGGCUUGGCUGGGUACUGCCAAUACUAAGCCGCUCGUCUUCAUAAGAUUCUUUGCCAAUCCAAGAUUCUUUGCCAGUACUGAAAAGCAGAGCCUCACACAUGUGAUGCCUACCUAUAAGUCCCAGUUAAAAAUAGCCUACACUGCCAGCAGGCCCAGGCACUGCUGCAGUAGCCAGAGGGGGGCUGUGUACGGAGGAUCCUCUAGGGUCGGCUGUAUGGAGCGAGGAAUAGGAGCACAGUCACACCAACCUCCCUGCAUCUUGUGGUGCCUCUGUAGGCCACCUCAGUGGUAGGAGUAACAAAGCACAGAGCAACCUGAACACGGGAAGAAUCUUUGUCAUGGUUGUCUUCCUGUUUUUCAUUAUUUGUCUCUAGUCCUAUUAGCUUAGUCACUGUUGCUUGAAUUUUUAAUAGUCAUAAUUAUAUAAAUUGACUGAUUUCAGGUCAGCUGCUGCAGGAAACAAAUUCAAAGAUUCAUUAAGGAGAAGAAGCUAGAAGAUGCUUAAAGCAGAGUAUUCUUCAGACUAUUUAAAAACAGAUUAUUAAUUUUUUUUAAAGUCAGUGUAGCCUUAGCAGGCUCUUAAAUAAGGACACAUUUUGUAUUUGCCUCUGUAAUUUGUAUCAUGUUCAUUUCCAAGGGCCAACUCAAACUAUUCGCCUUGCUUUCCCAAUUAAAUAAGGUUCUUUCCAUUUCAGUCAUCCUACAAGUAAUUGGAAGUCUAGAAGCUGUAUUAUGCUUGUAUCCUUUCAGCCUUAUUGCUAUCAGAUCAUACAUGCACAGACUUCAUUAGGGCAUAAUGUAGCCUUAUGCUGCUUGUCAGUAUUAUGAGCUGGUAUCAACAAAGUAUUGUUUAGGGAUCAUGCACUGAAGGUUAAUAUGCAACAGUAGGUGCUUAACAAUGGAUAGAAAGGGAAAGUACUUGCCUUUACAUAUUUACAGCAUCAGUUGUACAUAACAAACUUGUAUAUUUAACAUUAGUUAGUAUUUAAUAUUAGUUACUUCUGUGCUUAAGUAAACCCAUCUGACAAAAAUAUAAGCUUGUAAUGAUUUAAUCUUCAAUUAUGUUUACACAACCACUAACAGUGAUUCAGGCUUGUGACUCUUGAUAUCAGAGAAUUAGACUAAUUUACCUUUGCAAUACAGGAGAGUAUGAACACCAUUCUUGAAGCAACAUGCUGAGAUAAUCUCACUAUUGACACCUUUCUUCACUUGUUCUGUGUAGAUGUACAGAACCCACAGAUUUGUUACACAAUAUUCAUGCAUUUUCAGAAAAUCAAAGGUGUAAUCUUUAGCAUUCAUGAUUUUAUAUGACCGUUUUUUAAAUAUUAAGAAUAACAAAAAAAUCACACAGUAGCACAAAAAUAUAUUCUGUAGAGUCUAACCGAAAUACAUUUUCUUUUAUUUUUUUUUCCUUAAACAGAAGUUGUUUUGCUCAGGAAGAUCAAUAACUUAAAUUUAAAGAAAGCUUUUUCUAUAACUGUGCUGGCUUAUUUCUCAGUGCCUGGGUGCAGCUGUACAGUUAUAGGUGGUGUGAUUCCGUCACACCAUUAUCUAGCACUUUAAAAGACAGUAUCUAUAUAUAAAAAAAAUGGAAUAUUGACUAUCACUAUAUACAACCAGGGCUUGAAGCACCAGCUAGUUGGAGAUGGACAGAACUAAAAGACCAUCAAGUAGCUAAAUAAAUCUUGUUGAUUACACUUUAAAACUUUUGCA